rnacentral:rRNA from 1 species
GACGUAGGGCGCAAGCGCUGUCCGGAUUUAUUGGGCGUAAAGAGCUCGUAGGCGGCUCGUUGCGUCGGCUGUGAAAACCCGCAGCUCAACUGUGGGCUUGCAGCUGAUACGGGCGGGCUGGAGUUCGGUAGGGGAGACUGGAAUUCCUGGUGUAGCGGUGAAAUGCGCAGAUAUCAGGAGGAACACCGGUGGCGAAGGCGGGUCUCUGGGCCGAUACUGACGCUGAGGAGCGAAAGCGUGGGGAGCGAACAGG